GAUGGGGCAGAAAGUCGGUUCUGCGUGUGGCUUGAAACCACAAGGUGGGGGUUCAAUUCCUCCCUUCCUUG
rnacentral:tRNA from 1 species